rnacentral:rRNA from 1 species
AUUGAACGCUGGCGGCAUGCUUUACACAUGCAAGUCGAACGGUAACAGGUUAAGCUGACGAGUGGCGAACGGUGAGUAAUGCAUCGGAACGUGCCCGGUCGUGGGGGAUAACGCAGCGAAAGCUGCGCUAAUACCGCAUACGAUCUGAGGAUGAAAGCGGGGGACCGUAAGGCCUCGCGCGAUCGGAGCGGCCGAUGUCAGAUUAGGUAGUUGGUGGGGUAAAGGCUCACCAAGCCGACGAUCUGUAGCUGGUCUGAGAGGACGACCAGCCACACUGGGACUGAGACACGGCCCAGACUCCUACGGGAGGCAGCAGUGGGGAAUUUUGGACAAUGGGCGCAAGCCUGAUCCAGCAAUGCCGCGUGCAGGAAGAAGGCCUUCGGGUUGUAAACUGCUUUUGUACGGAGCGAAAAGGCUCUCUCUAAUACAGGGGGUUCAUGACGGUACCGUAAGAAUAAGCACCGGCUAACUACGUGCCAGCCGCCGCAGUAA